ACUAACGCUGACGGCGUGCCUAAUCUAUGCAAGUCUUUGAUCUGUAGCGAUACAAGUCAAAGCAGACGAGUGAGUAACAUGUAGGAAUCAACCCCAUACUCAGACAUAACCCGGGGAAACUCGGGGUAAUAUCUGAUGAUCUCUUCAGUUGGUACUGAAAGAGUAAAGAUUUAUUGGUAUGGGACGAGCCUGCAUCCUAUCAGCUAGUUGGUAAGGUAAAAGCUUACCAAGGCUAUGACGGGUAGGGGGCGUGAGAGCGUGAUCCCCCACGAUGGCACUGAGAAACGGGCCAUACAUCUACGGAUGGCAGCAAGUAGGAAUAGUGCACAAUGGGUCGAUGUAUUGACCUGAUGCAGCGACGCCGUGUGUAGGAAGAAGCAUUGCGGUGUGUAAACUAACGUCAAGAAGGGGCGGCUAACUUCGU
rnacentral:rRNA from 1 species